rnacentral:rRNA from 1 species
GACGAACGCUGGCGGCGUGCUUAACACAUGCAAGUCGAACGGAAAGGCCCUGCUUUUGUGGGGUGCUCGAGUGGCGAACGGGUGAGUAACACGUGAGUAACCUGCCCUUGACUUUGGGAUAACUUCAGGAAACUGGGGCUAAUACCGGAUAGGAGCUCCUGCUGCAUGGUGGGGGUUGGAAAGUUUCGGCGGUUGGGGAUGGACUCGCGGCUUAUCAGCUUGUUGGUGGGGUAGUGGCUUACCAAGGCUUUGACGGGUAGCCGGCCUGAGAGGGUGACCGGCCACAUUGGGACUGAGAUACGGGCCAGACCCCUACGGGGGGCAGCAGUGGGGAAUAUUGCACAAUGGGCGGAAGCCUGAUGCAGCAACGCCGCGUGCGGGAUGACGGCCUUCGGGUUGUAAACCGCUUUCGCCUGUGACGAAGCGUGAGUGACGGUAAUGGGUAAAGAAGCACCGGCUAACUACGUG